AGACAGAAUUGCAGGUGUAGAUUAUUUUUGGUUUUAACCACAGAUAAAAGUUUGAGCUCAGUCAAGUGCUUAGAGUGCAAGAGUUUAUAAACAGUAGGCCUACUCUGCCACCAGCAGUUGGUUUCAGUUGGACAUUCUGUUGCUAGUAGAAACUGCUGCCACCACAAUUCUAUAGCAGUUGCUGCUUAACUGACAUCUUACAUCCACCAUUUUGUCAGAUCUGUGUCCAGGCAAAUAUCCACAGACAUCGUUUACUAUUCCCCAAAUGCCCUUGUUGGAGCAUUAUCUUUUUACUCCUCAUUUGUCACUCUGAAGGAUUCAUCGUUGUCCACAGUGUUUCACGCAGCCAAUGGGAGAUCCACAUGCAGUUGGGCUGAUGGGUGACAGAUCUGGAUGGGACUUGUCUGUGGUACCAGUCUCCAUGAAUAUCAGGCCAUGGUGGGGACACGCUUCCUGAUCAGGGUCCGUGCUAUGCUUAGCUGCUUCAACCAAGGCUUCUCUGUGAAGGUGGCUCUGGACUGUCAAUCUGUGGCCCAGGAGGCAACCCUGGAGGAACUCCACCCACCCAUCCCACGUGUCCAAACGGAGAGUAGUGCCUUUGUUAAUUUCAAAAUAGAUGUUUUCUGUUUUAACUUCAAUUUUGUCUGUGCAUGGCUUUUGAGACAGAGAGAUUGUAACGUGCAAUAUGGCAACUUUUUUCUUUGUUCAUGUGAAAGUGCAGAUCUCUUGCAUCUUGUUCUUAGAAACAGUUGACAUGAAAAGUAAUCUGUAGGUUAAAAUAACUGAUUUUGUUUAUCAUAUUGAAGCUUUUAGGUUUAUACCUUGUCGACACUGGCCGUGUUGAAUGCUAACAAUAUAGCUCUCUGUAUCUAAUACCCAGUUCAUACCAACUGCCAUUCAGCACACAUUAGAGACAUUAUACAAUUUAAAGUAGUUCAUUUAGAAGCCAAUAGCAAACAUGAUAUCUAACCUUUCACUGAAUUAAUGAAAAUGUUGCUAGACUAUUCACACAUUUUUAAAUAAUUAGCUACAUAGCACUCAUUAUGAAGCUACACACAUCAAUCAUAUAGCAGCACAGACAGAAAGUAGGCCAUACCCACUUCAAUGGCAUAGUCUUGCAGUUGGUUGCAGUCAUAGAGUUGCACACCAGUAAGUGUGCUCAGUCUGAAGGUGCUGACAGGCAGGCCGCUUUGCAUGGACACCACAGUUUUCAGUCUAGCAACGGACAUAUGCAGAAGAGCCUCGCUUCCCAUGAUUGGUAAGGUUUCUCCUGUCACAGCAUUGAACACACGCAUCACAGGCCUUUGUUCACUCUGAAAAAUAAUUACAAUGGCCUUGCAGUUAAAGAGUAACUAAAGUCACAAGAUGAAUCCCUGUGUUUAUCUAAAAAAUAUCACAUACCGCUGAAGUUGCGUUGACCUGAAAACCAAACCCAUGUCAAAGGUACAUGAGUCAUUUUCACGUUUUUUAGUUAAUUCAAUUGUAUUUUAUUUGCAGCUAUUGUGAUUGGAUGAAGGGCAUUCCAUGACCACCAUGUACCAACCAUUACCUCACAACACAAGAGUGACAGAAUCUCACAAAAAAGAAGUCUGUUGUAGGUUGGAACGUUGAAGGCAUUGGAUGGCACUGCCACUUGUGAUGCCCACGUCGCAUAGAGCCCAGCUGUCCUGCAGCGCUGCACCACCGUAGCUCAGCUCCAGGUACUGCCGGACCUGCUUGUCAUCGGAGAGUUGCACAAGAAAGUUAUCCUACAGAGAGGGACAGAGUGGAAAUUUAUGGAGUUGUAAUAGAGUUCUGACAAAGAAAUAAAGUUCUUAAUAGACCAUG